rnacentral:rRNA from 1 species
AUACGGAGGGUCCAAGCGUUAUCCGGAAUCAUUGGGUUUAAAGGGUCCGCAGGCGGUCAAUUAAGUCAGAGGUGAAAGCCCAUCGCUCAACGAUGGAACUGCCUUUGAUACUGGUUGACUUGAGUUAUACGGAAGUAGAUAGAAUAAGUAGUGUAGCGGUGAAAUGCAUAGAUAUUACUUAGAAUACCGAUUGCGAAGGCAGUCUACUACGUAUAUACUGACGCUGAGGGACGAAAGCGUGGGGAGCGAACAGGAUUAGAAACCCGAGUAGUCC